rnacentral:lncRNA from 1 species
UUUUUUUUUUUUUUUUCCCCCCAGUGGUGAGUCCCUUCAAUCCUCAGAAUGGCAGCCAAAAAGGAAGAGUUUGGAAUAGACCUCCUUUCCCUUGUUAAAAAUAAUACCAGUAUAACAGUCAGUGUAAUGUCUACAAGUGACUGGGAGGAAUUUCUGUAGGCUCUAAAGUCUUCCAAAUUCAAGGUCUAGGCUACUUUCUAAGGUUUCUAGUUUUAUGUGGAAACCUUAUAGAUAUAUUUGGAUACAAUUUUGAAUUACACCAAAUGAUCCUCUUUUACCUUACAUGAGUUAAUGUCUAUAAAUCAAUUAGCACAGUGUCUAUCACUGGUAAGUGCUCAAUAAAUAUUAGCCAUUAACAUUACGCCAUUUCAUUUUCACUGAACUCCCUGUAAAUAAAGUUGAGGAAACGGUGACUCACAGUUAUUAAAAGUACUUGCCUGGAUCACACAUUUAGAUGUGACAUCACUCAAUUUUCACUCUGGUAUCGAAGUUUUUCCCACCACUAGAUAUGUAUAAGUCAAGGGCUAUGUAUUUAAAUGGAGAAAUUCAUUCAUCUCUAAUUGAAUUUAAGCAUUUCCUUGAUUUAUAACUACAAACAACAAAUCAUCAGUGUUAGCUAUUCCUUUGACUUUAUCACCAAUAGAAAUAAAAAUGUUUUUAUCAUAUUAAAGAUGCAACAUAUAUCCUGAGAUAUCAUUGAUGCCGUGCAUUUUCAAAUUGCGCUAGCUAGCAAAUCUGCUGCUUAAACUUAUUAUUGAAACACUAAUACAUAUUUAUAAUUUUUCCAAUAGAAUUAGUUCUUUGUAACCCUAGGUAUUUAUCUUAUGCCCUUAAAGUGUUAUUUUGAGAAAGGAGUCCAUUGGCUAAUGGUAUAAAAACAGUAAAGGACCCCUGCUAAGCUAGUCUGGGAUUCUACGACCUUCUUAUCCUAUUCUAUAUUUUUAACUACAUUUCAUAAGGGACGUAUCAUUGUGGGAUGAAUGUUCUCAACAUCUCAUUCAAAGGAAAUUUGAGACAUCCACACCUGAUAGUAGUUGGCACUGGAUUCAGUGAAUUCUUCAGCUGGCAGAAUAACCAGAUGGAUUUUAAUUGCUCAGCGAAGGCGUAAUUUUCCCCAAGAAAUCCCACACAUGCCAAUGCAGCCGUAUGAGCUAGUCGCAAGGCCUCCUCCUUUGUCAGCCUUUUCAGCCUGCUGCAAACAGUGCUUUUCAAAGGGAUCCUGUGACAGCAUCAAGAGAAAUGUAGUAAAUGUCUUUGUGCGAUUGGGGUAGAAGUGAAAUAAAUAGCCAGCGCUCCAGGGAAAAGCCACAGACAAUGCUCUCCCGCAGCUCAGUGUGCUUAUCAGUACACACACAGCCCUUCUGCCGAAUAGAUUGUGCUAAAUCUAAUCUGACGCCUCCCUCUGGGGAGAUGGGGGAGAAUGUGGAGAUGAUCAGAGGGUUGAUGGAUUGGGAUAUAUUCCAUCUUCCUUUCGAAUGGCAACAUUUCCCUUCAACACAGCCCUGGUGUGCUUUAGGGACCUUGCAUUUGGAGUGAUUUUUGAUGUCCUGAUAAGGAAAACCUAGCUUUUCAGAUUCUUUAAACUUUAGGAUACGUGAAGAGGACUGAUACAUAGAAAAUAUUGAAAAACAUUGAACCACAUCAAUAUCAAACAGAAAGGGACCUAUAACAGUUAUCUUUUCCAUCAUCCAAGACUUAAUUUGUCUUCACCUCUCCUUCUUUUCUUUUCCUUCUCUCUCUCUCUCUUUUUUUUCUUUCUAGGGCCGUGCCUGUAGCAUAUGGAGGUUCCCAGACUAGGGGUCAGAGCUACAGCUGCCGCCUACACCACAGUCACAAGAACUUGAGACUGAGUGCAUAUACAACCUACACUACAGGUUACAGCAGUGUCAGAUCCCUGACCCACUGAGCAAGGCCAGGGAUCCAACCCACCUCCUCAUGGAUACUCGUUGGAUUAGUUUCUGCUGUGCCACAACGGAAACUCCCUGGCCACUCUUUAUUUCCAUUUUUCUUAUGAAGAAAUGGAGUCUCAGAAUGGUUAAAUAACUUAAGGCCACAUAAUUAUGAGGAAACAGAGCAUGCCUCAAAUAUUCAUUUAUUUCAUCCAUUUCUAAAUUUUCAUCUGUCUAUUACUUACCUUUCCAGGUUAUACCUGAACUAAGUUUUCAGAAAAGGGAAAAAUAUAUAUUUGGGGUGCAAUUUUGGGAUGUUUCUUGAAGUAGACCUUAUAGAGAGGAGUCAGAGUUCAUCAAUAAGAGUAAAGAGAUUUUUAAAAAGAGAGCAAUACUUCUAGAAGCACUUCUUAGCAACCACAAAAUGAAGAAAUGUUUCUCAUUUUAACCUUAAAGCAAGUAUUCUACUUGGCUUAUAACUUUAUGUUCAUAUCUCAAUCAAAUUAAAUUGGUUUUUCGAAAUAGCAAUUUGGAGAAAUAUCAGGUCCAUUGGGAUCAAGUGAAAAACAGAUGUGAUAUAACAUGCAUUUUUUUCACAUGCCCCCAAGGGUUGUGACAUUUCCAAUUUUGUGACACUCUAGGGUAAGGAAAACAUAUCUCUUAGCAUGAAACUGAAGCUGUCAGUCCCAUAGUUUCGUUACUGGAGUGAGCUUCUUUAGGUAAGUGGAGAGCUUCACUGAAUAUCUUGUGUGGAAAUUUGCAAAGCUUGGACCUUUUUUACAAUUGAUCAUUUACAACAGCCAGUUAUUUUCCUACUUGGGAAACAGCUGGAUUUUAAAAAUAUUGCAACAUUAACUCACUUACUUACCCAUACCUACCAGUAUAAAUAAUGUUAUGCUGUCAGAGAUUUGGCGUAACAAAUCCUAUUUCAGUUUUUCCUUAGAUAUAGGUAUUAAUAAAAUAGAAUGCUACAAGAUAUCCAGAUCAUCUCUCUCACAGGACUGGAAUAACAUUAAUUUACUCAUUCAUUAAAAAGAAAAUUAUUAAGUGACCCCUGGAUAAGACACUGUGAAGGUCAGAGUGAGGCUUCCAUAAAUCUUUUAAUAUAAACUAUUCAUCUUUCAGUCUGUGUUGGUUUAUUUGUUUUAGCCAUGUCCAGUAAACACCAGACAUACUAAUUCCAUACUGAGCCCCUGUCAUUUGGGGGACUCUGUGCAGUUCAGGUACUAAUUAACAUUAGGCUGUAGCUGUAAGAAAUGAAGAGCAAGGUGUUUAAAACAAUUAUAUGUAUUCUUUCGCUACUUACACUGAUGGCAAUGGCAGUAAUAAUUACUUAUUAGAAUUAAUAUUGUCCCUGGUUCCUGCUUGAAAGCAUAUUCUCCUUCCCCAGCCAAAUACCAGAGUAACCAUAACAUGUAUUCUGCAGGCAUAAUAAACCAGAUACGAGCAGCUCAGUGACUGCUCCAAGCUGUCAGAAGGGCAUUGAAAGACUUUUAUUUUUUCCAUAGAAAAGAAAUAAGUGGAUAGGGAUUGCCCUUCUAUUCCACCUGGACAUCUGAGUCUACCUUGGGAAGAAACUAAAUGCCUUAUUAUCCAGGGCAUUACAAUGACUCAGAAGUUUCUUCUCAACUAUCUCUCUCUGGAGGAUGUGAUAACUGACCUUUUUUUUUUUUUAAGUCAUACACAAAAAAUAAAUGUCUAAAUUUGAAUCAUUUCUAUUUUUCACUCUAUCUAUGCCAGGUAAUAUGAAAGAUUGGUAUUCAAUAUAGGUUACCUAAUUUAAUUAUCACAGUAAUGCUAUCAAAGAGCUAUCCAUUUGAGUUCCAUUUUAUGAAUGAGGAAACUAAUGUUUAUUUGAAGUUAUGUGACUUGUUCAAACUUAAACUCCAAAGCUUGGGUGGCCCUUUUACGUUAACAGAAUUAACACGAUCCUUAUUGGAGAAAUGUAUCCUAAAUUUAGAAAGCAUUUCAUGUUAGAUCUUCUCUCCUUAGCCUGUACCCUCUUGUGAAUAGUUUUAGAGCUCUUAUAAUAACUGCAUUUGUCUCCUAGACUCUCUCCCCACCCCUGCCUGUCUUACUUCAGUUACAGUCACAGGUUGGCUACUCAAGUCUCAAUUCCCUACAUCUGGCAAAUGUUCUGUCUCUUUUUCAGGGGAUAGCUUGAAAUCCAAAUACUUAGAAGCCUUUAAAAGGGCCUUCUUUGCUCUUUGUUUAAAGCAGGAGUCAGGAACAUUUUCGUCAAAAGACCAGAGUGUAAAUAUUUUAGGAUUUGCUUGCCAGUUAUUAUUUUGUUGUUGUUUUUACAAACCUUAUAAAAUGUAUAAAUCUAUUCCAAGAUCAUUGGCCAUAUAAAACCGAGUCAUCAUUUGACAAAUGCUUCUAGAACUAUUUAGUGUUCUUAAAUGCCUUUAACCUACUUGUGCAAGAAAUUUUUGUUUAUCUACUUUAGCCCAAAGAAAACCACAAGUUUUAUUGCAGGUCCGCAUAUAACAGUAAUAAAGAUAAUAAUAAAAUUUCACUCAGUGAUUAAAUUCUUCCUUAGUAGAUUAUAAAUGGGGUUUACAGGAGUUCCUGUCAUAGCUCAGCAGUAAGGAACCCAACUAGUAUCCAUGAGGAUGCAGGUUCAAUCCCUGGCCUCACUCAGUGGGUCAGGAAUCUGGCGUUGCCAUGAGCUAUGGUGUAGGUCACAGACAUGGCUCAGAAACUGCAUUGCUGUGGCUGUGGCAUAAGCCAGCAUCUGCAGCUCUGAUUCAACCCCUAGCCUGGGAUCUUCCAUAUGCUGUGGGUGUGGCCCUAAAAAAUUAAAAAAAAAAAAAGGCAAUAAAGGGGGUUUAAGCCAGAACCCCAGAUAUCUCCUCCUUUUUAAACCUCUUGCAUUUAGCGAGAACCGUUUGGUGCCUCCUUUGACAUCUCUCCAUUCUCACCAUCCACCACCAAAAGUCCCUCUUCUGUUGAAAGGCAUCUUACAGCCUCUUCUCCCCUCUCUCUGGAUGCUUGUAGAUUAGUGUAAUUGCAUUCCCUUCAUAUUUCUUUUCAGAUUCAGAGUCUUUCCUUCCAAACCCAUUGUGUAAAUGCACAUCACAAAGUUCCUUAAGAACCGGGCAGAAAAGGAAACAUUCUUUUCAGGGUAAUGAGAAAGACUAAAUUGCUGAUCAUGGUGUGCCUCAUCAGGCUAGAGGGGGAAAGGGACCGAGGACACGGGACAUGUGAAUUCACUAGCACUAUUGAAUUUGGUUUUGCCACACAAGCAAUUAUAAAAUAAUCUGUCUUUAACUGUAUAUGAUAUCUCUCUAUACAUGCACUUUUAAAAUAUGGAGACCAUAUAGUAAAGACAAAAAAAAGAGAUAAAAUGUUGUCCAGAUAAAGCUCUGGGAGAAGAUGGUACGGUGGAAAGGGGAUCUCUGAGAUUAAAGAGGUCUAGAUUUGAGUUCUGUCGUAUCAACUAAACAGCCAGCUCGGCUUGGAUAAGUUCUUCUCUUCCCUGAACUUCAAUACGCCGUCUGUAAAACAAUAACGUUGAAGUAGAUGGACUUCAUUUUCCCCACUAUCUUAUUAUCCUAUCAAAAACAGAAGAAAUGCCUUCUUUCCUUGUCAUUUAGAAUACUGGAGAUCUGGAGUUCCCUUCAUGGCUCAGUGAUUAAUGACCCCAACUAGGAUUCAUGAGGAUGUGGGUUCAGUCCCUGGGCUUGCUCAGUGGAUUAAGGGUCUGGCAUUGCCAUGAGCUGUGGUCGUAGGUUGCAGAAGUGGCUCAGAUCCCGCAUUGCUGUGGCUGUGGCGUAGUCUGGCAGCUGUAGCUUUGAUUAGACCCCUAGUCUGGAAACUUCCAUAUGCUGUGGGUGUGGCCCUAAAAAGCAAAAUCAAUUAAUUAAUUAAGUAAGUAAAUAGAAUAUUGGAGAUACCCUUAAAAAAAAGAAUAGUCAAUUUUAUCAAUAAAUGUGAAACAGCAAGUUCUUCCUGAAUUUCUAUGUACAUGCACAAUAUUGUGUUUCAAUUGCUGAAAAAAUUUACAAUUGUUAAUGGAACAACUUUUCACGGGAGGUGAGGGAUUUGUUAUUAUUGGAGCCACUCAAGGCAAGUCUAGACAUGGCUAUGAUAGAGUCUGUAGAAUUAUGUGAACUCACAUCUGAGAGCUCCAUGUGGGAUGGGUAAGAUGCCCUGAGGCAUGUCUGCCAGUUUGCCUUUCAUAUCUAAGAGCACAUUUCAGUUUUUGCAUGGGCAGUUCUCUCUCCUUCAGUAGUUUGGCCUGGAGAUGGCAUUGACUUCCUUUGCUAUUUCACUUCUGAAAAUAUCAGUCAAACCAAAUAAAAACUAAUUAAGUUGGUUUUUAAAAAAAUGAGAUUGGAUUUUCUUGAUGGUUGAUGCUAUAUCCAUUUACUUAACAAGUGACUUUACCUGUUUGUCAUUUAACAAAUAUAUCUUGGUAUUUUCUCUGUCUUAGAGUAACAAAGAUGAAUAAAGACAAUCACUUGUCUAUCAUGCCAAGAAGGGCAUGGUUUUUGUCUAAUUAUUCUAACUCCUCAUCACAAUAACUGGUAUAUAGUAGUACUCAGAACAAACUUUUGAUUUUGCUUGCCUUGAACUAUUAUGAGAUGGAAAAACUAGGCUAAUAAUUGCAAUUAAUCCUAAUGCUGUGAGUUGCUGUGAGAUAUGAGCAAAGAGAAAAUAAUAUUCAGGAUAUAGAAAUAGUUCAGAGGAGCAGAUGGCUAAUUCAGUCUGGACAGAAGGCAAUAACGUAAACUUCAAAGAUGAAGUAAUGAUCAGAGAAGGACUUUGAACAAUUGAUAGAUGUUUUAAUGGUGAACAAGCAGAGGAGAUCAUUCUAUACACAUGAAAGGGCAGUGAGGUCAGUGACCAGGUUGUCUGAUGGGAUUUGGAAGAGCAGCAAGCUUGGGAGUGGCUGUGUAAGAGGCUGGAGAAACAGAUAGGUCAAUGCCAAGUCUUAUUCUAACAGCCGGGAUAAGGAGGGGAAGAGCAUGAUCAGUCUUUAUGCUAAAGAGAUCCUGUUGUCUGUAAAAUGAGAGAUUCCCUAGAGCUGGAGCAGCAAGAUUCAGGUAAGCGAGUUAGGAUGCUCCUGAAAUAGAUCAAAUGAGGUAUGAUAAGACCCAGAAUUAACACAGUGUAAGUGGUAAUAGAGACAUGAGAAAAGUGAGAUAUUUAGAAUCAACGCAAAUUUCUAUAUUUCUAGAAUUGUUUUAUAAGUUAUAUACAGAUGUGAGAGGAAAGAUAUGUAGGUUCAUAUCUUGUCGAAUUGUUAAAAAAAGCUCCACCCUCGAAUUUCCUGUAUGGAAUUUUGAGGACCCCUUGCUGGAAGGUUUGGGGACCAUAGAGUGUGCUUUAAGUACUUGGUUCUCUCGGUUAACAGGGAACUGCGGGAGGUUUGGAAGCAGGUAAGUAGUAGGAUCAGAACUGUAUUUUCAAAAGAGAAGUUAGUUACAGGCAUUAAAAUCAGAUGGGGGAAUGGUGUUGGAAUUAGUUUCUUCAAGUUUGUCUCCAUCAACUUAGACCAGGUUAAUGGAAAACCAUAAAUAUUUAAUGUGAGGUAAAAUUCAAGUAUAUGCUCUCUAACUAAUUACUUAUUCAGUCAUGACAUACUUAAAGAAUCUCUAACCUAAAAAUAGGAUGCCCCAGGGCUUCCUUGGCAGGGGAAAUUCCUUCUAUUCCACAGAUACCUAAUGGCCAUACACUAAAAGUCCAUGGCUGCUAGUGUGGGGAGUGUUGUCUUCUGCAGAUUCAUACAGGAUUUAUUCAGGAAGAGAGGAAGUUAAUUUUAAAAUCAUGGUAAAGGAUAUAUUACUAUGUAAAUAAGAGAAGAACAGGAACAAAAAGAGGCAGAAACAGAUUUGAACCUGUCUGCUAAGUGUUGAGUGGCUUAAUGAUAUUUCCUUCUCUGCAAUGAUAAACAAGAAAAAGCAAAUGAGGAAAACUUAUUAUGCCAAUUAUGACUACAUUCAUUCAACUCAUUGAUAUGCAUUUAAACAUAGAGGAGUUAAAAGAUAAUUAUCUAACUUAUAAAAAGUAUUACACUAGGAAAGUGAUGAAGUUUAAAGUAUUUCAGAAAAGAUAAGGAAGACUUUGGGGCUGAUUGCUAAUACUAUCUCGUAAAACAUCAACAUCUAUUCUAGGAUCCUGUACUCUGUCAUUGUACCAAUCACUUAAGGGAAAUUCAUUUAUAAUAGAAAUAUAUUUCAUCAAUUUUAAUACCAAUUCCUUUGAGACUGAAUUAGUUGUUCGCCAUCUGUGAAUCCCACAGGUUUUCAUUUGAUGAAUUUGUUGUCAGAAGUAGAAGGGUUGCAAAAAUGAAAUGUACCUGAAAUUCAUAUGAUGCAUUAGGACUUGUAAGUCUUUGGACUACUUACCUAUAUACUUUGGACUCAAA